AUGAUACACCCUCCAUCCGAAAAAGCUUGUCCCUCAAAUGGAUGUAUCUAGCAUCAAGUUAGUGCUAGAUACAUUCAUUUGAGCAACAAGCUUGGGACAAGUUUUUUCGGACGGAGGGAGUACAAG
rnacentral:pre_miRNA from 1 species